rnacentral:rRNA from 1 species
AUUGAACGCUGGCGGCAGGCCUAACACAUGCAAGUCGAGCGGAUGAGUGGAGCUUGCUCCAUGAUUCAGCGGCGGACGGGUGAGUAAUGCCUAGGAAUCUGCCUGGUAGUGGGGGACAACGUUUCGAAAGGAACGCUAAUACCGCAUACGUCCUACGGGAGAAAGUGGGGGAGUCUUCGGACCUCACGCUAUCAGAUGAGCCUAGGUCGGAUUAGCUAGUUGGUGAGGUAAAGGCUCACCAAGGCGACGAUCCGUAACUGGUCUGAGAGGAUGAUCAGUCACACUGGAACUGAGACACGGUCCAGACUCCUACGGGAGGCAGCAGUGGGGAAUAUUGGACAAUGGGCGAAAGCCUGAUCCAGCCAUGCCGCGUGUGUGAAGAAGGUCUUCGGAUUGUAAAGCACUUUAAGUUGGGAGGAAGGGCAGUAAGUUAAUACCUUGCUGUUUUGACGUUACCAACAGAAUAAGCACCGGCUAA